rnacentral:ncRNA from 1 species
AAACGGGCAAUGAGUGGGGCCAGUAAACCAUGAAUGGUAUCCAGAGAGUGAAACCCAUAGGCUGGAAGGUUUCAUUACCCUCUUCGUGGUUGAACCUACCCCAUGAGCUGUUAGGAAAACCUAAACGCUCAACCGGCGUUAUCGGUGAAGAGGUGGACUCUUUUUCGGCCGUUUGUCGGCAAAAGAGUCAAAAAAGGUGGUACCGCGGAAACAAGACCUUCCGUCCUUUUU